CGAGCCCGCUGACACCUGGCUUGACCGUCAACAAUACGGGCAUCAUCCGGAGCCUGCAGCAGUUUCUAGGAGGACAAGGAGAUGGAGGACAAGGAGGUGGAGAAGGACAAGGAAGUGGAGGACAAGGAAGUGGCGAAGGUUGACGUUGCUUGUAUGAACUUUGUUGUGUGAGCUUGGAGCAUUCUAUGUAUGAAUUUGUUGUUGGACUACUUUGUUGUUGGUGGACUUUGUUGUUGUUGGACUUUGUUGUUGGACUAUUGUAUGGACUUUGUUGGACUAUUAGUGGUUGAACUAUGUUGUUGAUGA